rnacentral:rRNA from 1 species
AAAUUGAAGAGUUUGAUCAUGGCUCAGAUUGAACGCUGGCGGCAGGCCUAACACAUGCAAGUCGAGCGGUAGCACAGAGAGCUUGCUCUCGGGUGACGAGCGGCGGACGGGUGAGUAAUGUCUGGGAAACUGCCUGAUGGAGGGGGAUAACUACUGGAAACGGUAGCUAAUACNNNNNNNNNNNNCAAGACCAAAGUGGGGGACCUUCGGGCCUCAUGCCAUCAGAUGUGCCCAGAUGGGAUUAGCUAGUAGGUGGGGUAACGGCUCACCUAGGCGACGAUCCCUAGCUGGUCUGAGAGGAUGACCAGCCACACUGGAACUGAGACACGGUCCAGACUCCUACGGGAGGCAGCAGUGGGGAAUAUUGCACAAUGGGCGCAAGCCUGAUGCAGCCAUGCCGCGUGUGUGAAGAAGGCCUUCGGGUUGUAAAGCACUUUCAGCGGGGAGGAAGGCGNNNNNNNNANNNNNNNNNNAUUGACGUUACCCGCAGAAGAAGCACCGGCUAACUCCGUGCCAGCAGCCGCGGUAAUACGGAGGGUGCAAGCGUUAAUCGGAAUUACUGGGCGUAAAGCGCACGCAGGCGGUCUGUCAAGUCGGAUGUGAAAUCCCCGGGCUCAACCUGGGAACUGCAUUCGAAACUGGCAGGCUAGAGUCUUGUAGAGGGGGGUAGAAUUCCAGGUGUAGCGGUGAAAUGCGUAGAGAUCUGGAGGAAUACCGGUGGCGAAGGCGGCCCCCUGGACAAAGACUGACGCUCAGGUGCGAAAGCGUGGGGAGCAAACAGGAUUAGAUACCCUGGUAGUCCACGCCGUAAACGAUGUCGAUUUGGAGGUUGUGCCCUUGAGGCGUGGCUUCCGGAGCUAACGCGUUAAAUCGACCGCCUGGGGAGUACGGCCGCAAGGUUAAAACUCAAAUGAAUUGACGGGGGCCCGCACAAGCGGUGGAGCAUGUGGUUUAAUUCGAUGCAACGCGAAGAACCUUACCUGGUCUUGACAUCCACAGAACUUNNCAGAGAUGNNUUGGUGCCUUCGGGAACUGUGAGACAGGUGCUGCAUGGCUGUCGUCAGCUCGUGUUGUGAAAUGUUGGGUUAAGUCCCGCAACGAGCGCAACCCUUAUCCUUUGUUGCCAGCGGUNNGGCCGGGAACUCAAAGGAGACUGCCAGUGAUAAACUGGAGGAAGGUGGGGAUGACGUCAAGUCAUCAUGGCCCUUACGACCAGGGCUACACACGUGCUACAAUGGCAUAUACAAAGAGAAGCGACCUCGCGAGAGCAAGCGGACCUCAUAAAGUAUGUCGUAGUCCGGAUUGGAGUCUGCAACUCGACUCCAUGAAGUCGGAAUCGCUAGUAAUCGUAGAUCAGAAUGCUACGGUGAAUACGUUCCCGGGCCUUGUACACACCGCCCGUCACACCAUGGGAGUGGGUUGCAAAAGAAGUAGGUAGCUUAACCUUCGGGAGGGCGCUUACCACUUUGUGAUUCAUGACUGGGGUGAAGUCGUAACAAGGUAACCGUAGGGGAACCUGCGGUUGGAUCACCUCCUUA